AUUGAACGCUGGCGGCAGGCCUAACACAUGCAAGUCGAGCGGAUGAAGGGAGCUUGCUCCUGGAUUCAGCGGCGGACGGGUGUGUAAUGCCUAGGAAUCUGCCUGGUAGUGGGGGAUAACGUCCGGAAACGGGCGCUAAUACCGCAUACGUCCUGAGGGAGAAAGUGGGGGAUCUUCGGACCUCACGCUAUCAGAUGAGCCUAGGUCGGAUUAGCUAGUUGGUGGGGUAAAGGCCUACCGAGGCGACGAUCCGUAACUGGUCUGAGAGGAUGAUCAGUCACACUGGAACUGAGACACGGUCCAGACUCCUACGGGAGGCAGCAGUGGGGAAUAUUGGACAAUGGGCGAAAGCCUGAUCCAGCCAUGCCGCGUGUGUGAAGAAGGUCUUCGGAUUGUAAAGCACUUUAAGUUGGGAGGAAGGGCAGUAAGUUAAUACCUUGCUGUUUUGACGUUACCAACAGAAUAAGCACCGGCUAACUUCGUG
rnacentral:rRNA from 1 species